UACAGAGGGGGCAAGCGUUAUUCGGAAUUAUUGGGCGUAAAGGGCGCGUAGGCGGCCUGGCAAGUGGAAGGUGAAAUCCCUCGGCUUAACCGAGGAACUGCCCUCCAAACUGCUUGGCUUGAGUCCGGGAGAGGUGAGUGGAAUUCCUGGUGUAGCGGUGAAAUGCGCAGAUAUCAGGAAGAACACCCGUGGCUAAGGCGGCUCUCUAGUACGGUACUGACGCUGAGACGCGAAAGCGUGGGGGAGCGAACAGG
rnacentral:rRNA from 1 species